GACGAACGCUGGCGGCGUGCUUAACACAUGCGAGUCGAACGGAAAGGCCCUGCUUGCAGGGUACUCGAGUGGCGAACGGGUGAGUAACACGUGGGUGAUCUGCCCUGCACUUCGGGAUAAGCCUGGGAAACUGGGUCUAAUACCGGAUAGGAGCCAUUUUUAGUGUGAUGGUUGGAAAGUUUUUUCGGUGUAGGAUGAGCUCGCGGCCUAUCAGCUUGUUGGUGGGGUAAUGGCCUACCAAGGCGGCGACGGGUAGCCGGCCUGAGAGGGUGGACGGCCACAUUGGGACUGAGAUACGGCCCAGACUCCUACGGGAGGCAGCAGUGGGGAAUAUUGCACAAGGGGCGCAAGCCUGAUGCAGCGACGCCGCGUGGGGGAUGACGGCCUUCGGGUUGUAAACUCCGUUCGCUAGGGACGAAGCUUUUUGUGACGGUACCUAGAGAAGAAGCACCGGCUAACUACGUG
rnacentral:rRNA from 1 species